CCCUUAGAUGUUCGGGGCCGCACGCGCGCUACACUGUUCGACGCAGCGAGUCUUAACCUUGACCGAAAGGUUUGGGUAAUCUUCAGCAAAGUCGAACGUGAUGGGGAUCGAUCAUUGCAAUUAUUGAUCGUGAACGAGGAAUUCCUAGUAAGUGCAAGUCAUCAGCUUGCGCUGAUUACGUCCCUGCCCUUUGUACACACCGCCCGUCGCUACUACCGAUUGAAUGGUUUAGUGAGAUCUCUGGAUUGACGCUGGCUAGGGGGCGACCCUUGGCCAGGCUGUCGAGAAACUGCUCAAACUUGAUCAUUUAGAGGAAGUAAAAGUCGUAACA
rnacentral:rRNA from 1 species